rnacentral:snoRNA from 1 species
GAGUGGAUUAUGUCACCCAAAAUGCAUUCCUUGGAAGCUGAACAAAAUGAGAACUCUAUACCAUCUCAUCUCAUCUUACUAAGGUGC